rnacentral:misc_RNA from 1 species
AAGUUUAGGUCAAUGGUUUUUUCAGUUUUGAUGUGAAAUUACUAUGAUUUUUUUAUUAUUAUUAUUUUAAGAAAUCAAGCUACUUAAUUCAAAACAGGAGUUAACAACUAUCGAUCCUGGUGAUUUUCACCUUUUUUUAAUUAUUAGGUAAAAUGGCAUACGGCUUCAAACUGCUCUAAGAUAAUAGUGAUUAAUGGAAAAAUGGAAAUAUUUUGUUGUAAUUAUCACCUUCUAGAGUAAAUGAGAAAAAUUCUGAGGUUCAAUGUGGAAAAGUAAGUUAAUUUAACUAAGUUUGAUGAGUUAAUUUAACUAAGUUUGAUGCUUAAUUUUGAUGUGCCUAUAAGAUUGGCAAAUGAUAAAAUGAAAAUAGGAGGAUGAUGACAGAAGAAAAUACAAAUUAAAAAUGAAGUUAAACUUCCA